GACUCUGAAAAGGAAGAUUCUGAAGAUGAGGAAGAAUUAUCCCUUCUAACCAUAAGAGUAAAACAACUCUAGAGAAAAAGGAAUAAUAACUUCAGAAAACCAAGAUCCAAAGGAGAUCGAUCAGAAUCAACCUCAAAAGGUAAAUCUAACAAAGAUGUUACGUGUUAUGAAUGUAAAGAAACAGGUCACUACAGAAACGAAUGUCCCAAGUUGAAGAAAGACAGUUCCAGAAAAGAGAACUUCAAGAAAAAUUCC
rnacentral:lncRNA from 1 species